rnacentral:lncRNA from 1 species
GGUGCAUUCGAUUUUAUUCAUAUGGUAAUUUACAAUAAACUGCACAUAUGAAUCAGUAAGAGAUUACAGAAUCAAAGCAAUCUGCAACUCUUUAUCUAUGAAAAUUUUGAGCUUCUCAAGCUCUUCAAAGUCCUUGAUCAUUAUCAAAUAAUACUCAUAGACAGAUUGCCCAUCACAUAUUUUCACCUUGAAAAAUCUCUUGAACUUUGCAGUGAGCUGCGUGACUCUGCUCACCGUACAACUCUUAUAAGUAAGCUAAUAUACUCUUGAC